rnacentral:rRNA from 1 species
UACAGAGGGUGCAAGCGUUGUUCGGAAUUACUGGGCGUAAAGCGCGUGUAGGUGGUUCCAUCAGUCGGACGUGAAAGCCCUCGGCUCAACCGAGGAAGAGCAUCCGAUACUGUGGGACUUGAGUGUCGGAGGGGAUGGUGGAAUUCCCGGUGUAGAGGUGAAAUUCGUAGAUAUCGGGAGGAACACCUGUGGCGAAGGCGACCAUCUGGACGACAACUGACACUGAGACGCGAAAGCGUGGGUAGCAAACAGG